CUCAGAUUGAACGCUGGCGGCAGGCUUAACACAUGCAAGUCGAGCGGGGUGAUGGUGCUUGCACUAUCACCUAGCGGCGGACGGGUGAGUAAUGCUUAGGAAUCUGCCUAUUAGUGGGGGACAACAUUUCGAAAGGAAUGCUAAUACCGCAUACGUCCUACGGGAGAAAGCAGGGGAUCUUCGGACCUUGCGCUAAUAGAUGAGCCUAAGUCGGAUUAGCUAGUUGGUGGGGUAAAGGCCUACCAAGGCGACGAUCUGUAGCGGGUCUGAGAGGAUGAUCCGCCACACUGGGACUGAGACACGGCCCAGACUCCUACGGGAGGCAGCAGUGGGGAAUAUUGGACAAUGGGCGCAAGCCUGAUCCAGCCAUGCCGCGUGUGUGAAGAAGGCCUUAUGGUUGUAAAGCACUUUAAGCGAGGAGGAGGCUACUUUAGAUAAUACCUAGAGAUAGUGGACGUUACUCGCAGAAUAAGCACCGGCUAACUCUGUGCCAGCAGCCGCGGUAAUACAGAGGGUGCAAGCGUUAAUCGGAUUUACUGGGCGUAAAGCGCGCGUAGGCGGCUAAUUAAGUCAAAUGUGAAAUCCCCGAGCUUAACUUGGGAAUUGCAUUCGAUACUGGUUAGCUAGAGUGUGGGAGAGGAWGGGUAGNNUUCCAGGUGUAGCGGUGAAAUGCGUAGAGAUCUGGAGGAAUACCGAUGGCGAAGGCAGCCAUCUGGCCUAACACUGACGCUGAGGUGCGAAAGCAUGGGGAGCAAACAGGAUUARAUACCCUGGUAGUCCAUGCCGUAAACGAUGUCUACUAGCCGUUGGGGCCUUUGAGGCUUUAGUGGCGCAGCUAACGCGAUAAGUAGACCGCCUGGGGAGUACGGUCGCAAGACUAAAACUC
rnacentral:rRNA from 1 species